rnacentral:lncRNA from 1 species
AGGAGGAAGAGCAAGCUCCAUAACAGACAGAAGUUUAAAUUGUCAUUCCCAACUGCUAAUCAGGAAGCGGAAGUUAAACUCUUAGCAAAAUGGCAGCACCUGGAAAGACAAAUGGAGCCAAACUACCUGGGUUCAAAUCCUGACUCCACCACACGCUACGGUUACCAAUGAUCCUGAUCUGCCCAAGGCUGAGGAGUUUCCCAGGAUAUGGGACUUUCACUGCUAAAACCAGGAUAGUCCCAUGCAAAGCAGCAUGGCUGAUCACCCUACUUGCUGCCAUGAGACUACCACCAUCCUCGAGGAUGAUAGAUCCCAAGGAGAGAGUGACCCAGUCAACAUCCAGCCCCAUCAGCAUGUGACUUAUCCAGCCCCAGUCCAGUCACCAGAUAAUAGCAAAUGCAUGAGUUAAUUCAGGUGAGACCAUCAGAACGAUCUAGCUGAACUUGUCUCAAAUUGCUGUCCUCUGUUGGAGUUUUUCUGCACAUAAAAAAUAAAAUUGCUGUCCUACAUAACUGUAAACAAGCAAAAUGGUUGUUUUUAUAAACCACCUAGUUUUGGAGUUGUUUGUUAUAUAGCAGUAGAUAACUGUUACAAUACUGCAACCCUUUAACUACAGGGAAUUAUGCUUAAAACCUAAGGAGUAGACUCCAAUUUUAAGACAAUAAAGCCCAGCCCUCCCUCACCACUUGUUCAUUUCUUAGACUCAAAGAAUAUUGGUUGAGUGCUUACUGUGUACUAGGAACUGUAUCAUGGGCUUAGCAUCCACUACUGAACAAGACAGGUAAGUACUCUGCCCUCAAAAAUCUUAUCCAGUUUGGGAUACAGAUAUUAAAUGAAUAAUUAUAAGUUACGGGGUGCUUUAAAAAUAAAUGGGACUGAAUAGAAGUGAAGGAGUGUAAAAAAAGCAAGUCUUUUUUAAAAAAGAAGUGGCAUUUAAACUCAGUUCUGAAGUAGGAGUUAUCCAGGUGAAAAUUGGGCUGAAGUGUGUUCCAGGCAGAGAGAGCAGCAUAUGGGAAAGCUGUGGACUAGGAAGGCUCUUGAUGAGGAGGGACAAAGUAGCUGGAGUUUAGGAGCUAGGAAAAAAGAGGCAGAAAGUGAAACUAGAGAUGCAGGCAGAAGCCCAAUCCUGCAGAAUCUUAUAGGCACAGUGAGGUUAAAAUGCACCUAUCUGGCAUCCAUCUUUUCAAAAUAUGUCCAGCUCCAUCUGCUUUUUCUUAAAGACAUCUUAUGAGGCAACUGUGCUAUAUGGAAAGAUUGAUAAACUGGAAGAUAGAAUGCUGUAUUUGUUCAUUUUGUGCUUCUGUAACAGAAUACCACAGCCUGGGGAACUUAUAAUAAACAGAAAGGUAUUGGCUCACAGUUCUGUAGACUAGGAAGUCCAAUAUUAAAGUGCUGACGUCUGUCAAGGGCCUUCUUGCUGCAUCAUAACAUGGUGGAAGAUCAAGGAGAGGGCGAGAGACAGCAAGAGGGGGCAAACCCACUCCCUCAAUAACAAACCUAUUCCCAUGAUAACAACAUUAGUCCAUCCAUGAGAGUGGAUCCCUCAUGACCUAAACCACCUCUUAGAAAUUCCACCUCCCAAUACUUUCAAAAUGGCAAUUAAAUUUCAACAUGAAUUUUGAAGAAGACAAACAUUUAAACCAUAGCAAGUCCCUAAAUCCAUUUCAGCAAAUAAUUAAAUUUCACCAACCUAGGUUUUCUUAUCUAUCAAAGGAAAUAAUAAUCCCUAUACACUACAAUAUAUAUUUCAGGCAUGGGAUGGGUACAAAGUGAGUGAGUAUGGGAAGGAACACUAUAAAAUGACAAGUGUUCUAUAAAUAUAAGGGCUAUGAUAUUGAGGUGCUGAUAGGCCCACACCCCAUGUUUUUGGUCAC